GAUGAACGCUAGCUACAGGCUCAACACAUGCAAGUCGAGGGGAAACGGCAUUGAGUGCUUGCACUCUUUGGACGUCGACCGGCGCACGGGUGAGUAACGCGUAUCCAACCUUCCCAUUACUGUGGGAUAACCUGCCGAAAGGCAGACUAAUACCGCAUAGUCUUCGAUGACGGCAUCAGAUUUGAAGUAAAGAUUUAUCGGUAAUGGAUGGGGAUGCGUCUGAUUAGCUUGUUGGCGGGGUAACGGCCCACCAAGGCUACGAUCAGUAGGGGUUCUGAGAGGAAGGUCCCCCACAUUGGAACUGAGACACGGUCCAAACUCCUACGGGAGGCAGCAGUGAGGAAUAUGAGUCAAUGGACGGAAGUCUGAACCAGCCAAGUAGCGUGCAGGAUGACGGCCCUAUGGGUUGUAAACUGCUUUUGUAUGGGGAUAAAGUUAGGGACGUGUCCCUAUUUGCAGGUACCAUACGAAUAAGGACCGGCUAAUUCCGU
rnacentral:rRNA from 1 species